rnacentral:rRNA from 1 species
UACAGAGGGGGCAAGCGUUAUUCGGAAUUAUUGGGCGUAAAGGGCGCGUAGGCGGCUUGGCAAGUGGAUGGUGAAAUCCCUCGGCUUAACCGAGGAACUGCCAUCCAGACUGCUUCGCUUGAGACCGGGAGAGGUGAGUGGAAUUCCCAGUGUAGCGGUGAAAUGCGUAGAUAUUGGGAGGAACACCAGUGGCGAAGGCGGCUCACUGGACCGGUACUGACGCUGAGGCGCGAAAGCCAGGGGAGCAAACGGG